UGGGGAAUUUUGGACAAUGGGCGCAAGCCUGAUCCAGCCAUGCCGCGUGCGGGAAGAAGGCCUUCGGGUUGUAAACCGCUUUUGUCAGGGAAGAAAUCUUCUGAGUUAAUACCUCGGGAGGAUGACGGUACCUGAAGAAUAAGCACCGGCUAACUACGUGCCAGCAGCCGCGGUAAUACGUAGGGUGCAAGCGUUAAUCGGAAUUACUGGGCGUAAAGCGUGCGCAGGCGGUUUUGUAAGACAGAGGUGAAAUCCCCGGGCUCAAUCUGGGAACUGCCUUUGUGACUGCAAGGCUUGAGUGCGGCAGAGGGGGAUGGAAUUCCGCGUGUAGCAGUGAAAUGCGUAGAUAUGCGGAGGAACACCGAUGGCGAAGGCAAUCCCCUGGGCCUGCACUGACGCUCAUGCACGAAAGCGUGGGGAGCAAACAGGAUUAGAUAGCCCUGGUAGUCCACGCCCUAAACGAUGUCAACUGGUUGUUGGGAAGGUUCCUUCUCAGUAACGUAGCUAACGCGUGAAGUUGACCGCCUGGGGAGUACGGCCGCAAGGUUGAAACUUAAAUGAAUUGACGGGGGUCAU
rnacentral:rRNA from 1 species